AUGUAGCAGUUUUUAGGAUUCUUUGUUCAUCUUGGAGCCAUGCGAGUACAAGGUAAAAGGGGGUGGUUUAUUGAAAUAUAAGUCACAACAAGUCCUUCAGUCUCCAAGCACUGCAAAGCAACAAACACACACAAAAUGCUUCAGUUUCAUAUCACCCACAAAUGCAAACCUAUACACACAUUUUCCACGCAUUAAAGUUCAGCAGGAAACUGUCAUCUACACGACACAGGGGGAACUGUUUCUGUGUUCUGCUUUUUGUUUGAGGUGUGCUAUACUUUCAGGUCUAUUUGACUUGUCUUGCAUUUUAAGCCACAAAUACGUGACCAAGAGAGGAAAUGAUGCAAAUGUAGUAGUGCUUCACACAGAUAUGCACUUGUUUGAAGACAUGCUGCUGCAUCUUCCUUAAUUCAAUAAAGUGUAUGCCAUUACAUCUCGUUUGAGAAACCUCUUACAGAUAGGUAUGGUUUGCAACAUCACCAACACCACCGACACCACCAACUCUACUUGCAGGGUGGACACCCUUGAGGGUUUGGCUUACUGUCCUCUGUUUCUCCUGGGUUUCUUCCUCAACGCCGCUGCUCUGCGCGCCUUCUUUGCCAAACGGGAGUCCUGGACAGACACGCACAUCUACAUGCUCAACCUGGCUAUAGCUGAUUCUACCCUCAUCCUCUUCCUUCCCUUUAGGAUCUAUAAUGCCUUCAUCUGCCUACCAGUGAAUCACUUCUGUACUUUCCUUAUUUCCACACAUUACAUCAACAUGUAUGCCAGCAUUCUGACCACCACAGCCAUCAGUGUUCAGCGCUACCUGGUUAUACGUUUCCCACUGCAGGCCAGAUCAUGGCGGAAGAAGAAGGAGGUCGCUUUUGCAGUGUGUUUGAUCCUUUGGGGACUUAUUUUGACAAUAUCUGCUAUAUUUCAUAAGGAUAAUCACCCAGAAAAACUCUGGACCUGUUAUGAAAGGUGUAAAAAUAUCCACCUUAGUCCAGUGUUUAUUGUCAUUAUGGUCGUUUGUGGCUACCUCGCUCCACUCUUGAUUGUUGUCUUCUGUUCCAGUCGCAUCAUCUCUAUUCUGCGAAAGGUAGAUGACAAGUUUGAGGACAAGAAACGCACCAUUGGGAUAGUAACAGCAAAUAUGAUUGUUUUCAUUUUCUGCUACACGCCAAUCCAUGUUGGCUUUGUUGUCAACUACGAACCACCAGUAAAUUGGCAGUUUGAAAGGUUACCUGUACAUUUCUAUUUACAUGUAGCUGAAUGGAUCGCCUCCACCAACUGCUGUUUUGAUUCUGUCAGCUAUUCUUUUCUGCUGAAGAGAUUCUUUUGCAAGUAAAUGAGAGUACAACCAUUUAUUGGUCAUUAUUUUAAUUUGCCUGUAUAUUGUGCCUUGGCUUAAGACUUGAACCGUGUUACGAACUGGAGGUGUGGGGUUUCAAAUACGCUAUUGAGAGGCAUUAUGGGAAUUGUAGCAGAGAGCUUGAAACAUAUAGGGACUAAAGGUCAGAAUAUCUGAACCAUUGCUGCUUUGUUUAUGAUAUUUUGUUUAAAUACUCCUGUGUCUCUUUUCCAAGUAUUUAGAAGUGCAAUAUGACACACCGGAGUAAUCGGCAUUUCUCAACAACUUUUCAUGAUUUAUUUUAAUGAAUUUUUUGACAUUUAUAAUUGUUUUGGUUUAUACAAUUACGUGUAAAAUGCAACAUAAUCUGUUAAAUCUUGCUUGGCCCAUAUCGUCAAGUUUCUCUCUGUCUGUUUUGGGAUAUAAAUACCUGUUAUGUACCUGUGUGAUGUUCUAAGCAUUAUAUGAAAUCAGAGAACAAGGGUUAUUUUCAUCUCUGCAGCAGACCUCUCUACAAACCUACCGUCUGUGUCUCAGCAGCACACUCAGAUGAUGUGAAGUCAAUACAGAGGCACCCAUGGGAGUUCAAGCCUUACAUUGAAUGAAGGCCAGUGUCCAGCUCCCUCUUGUGGCCCGAAAAGUAAAUGCAUGAUAGAUUGUA